UCCCAAUCCCAACCCCGCCUUCGUCUCUUUCCUCUUGAACGUAGCCUCUCUUUGGUUACUUAUCCUGUCCUCCCUGGCAAUCCCACCCCCUCCUCUGCCCAGGCCGGUGAGGUCAGCUCAUGAAUAUCAGGGCACUUCGUGAGGAGCGUCUGGCACCGCUUGGUACCUCGCUGUUCUCCAGCUCCGAGGCUUAGCUCCAGCCUAGGCGAGGGCCACCGGGAAGUAAUCUGUUCUGAAGACCCUAUGAUUGUUCGCACGUUAACGCCAUUGUGUGAAGAAAUGGAUUGAUUGUGGAACUGGGACGCACGACCCCAUUUAUAACCCAGCUAGAAAGUCACAAAUAAUACUAAGAAGUUAAACUUUCCUCAUCUCUCAGAGACGACCUAACAGACCCGGAGAGUCCGGAAGAUCAGAAGGAAAACGCUGCUGAUUUUCAACUUCGAAAUACCGUUUCUGCUGAGAAUGUUCAAGGCAACUGGGUGUAUUUCUCUAACCAAGAGUAACAUUAAAGAUUAGAGCUAUUUGAGAAAGAUUAGAAAGGAAGGUUGGUGGCCGUAAGGAGAGAAGAGAAUGUGGUGAUGGACGAUUCUAAACUGCAUCUGGUAGAUUCUUCCUAGACUGUCAUGAGUCAGCCACCGACUGGGGGCGCUGCCCCUGUCUCAGCCACAGCUUCUGCUUCCACGGCUGCCACUGAGGCUCGCCUGCACCCGGAGGGCAGCAGCAGAAAGCAGCAUCGUGCUCAAUCACCCGGUAGACUAAGGGAUAAUGUGACCCGACAGACAACUGCGGUUGCCCGGUCCCCGGUGGGGGUGGGCACUAAACUCAAUUCUGUUCGGCUGCAGCAGCUGCAGCAGCAACAGCAGCAGCAACAACAGCAGCAGGGCACCAAGACCGGGAAUCGAACGACUCCUCAGCACAGCUCCAGAGUAGGCGGAGGCGUGGUGGAGAAGGCGGUGUCCCUGGCUUCCAAAGGGGCAGUGCCGGGAGCUGUCCAAACCUCGGCUGGUGCUGAAGCGGCCCCCACAGCUACUCUGGCCUCGGUGGGCAGCAAGAAGUCUGGCCCACCGGAGGAGCCUCCCCGGGAGGCAGAGCCAGUGCCCUCGAAACUCGGGGAACCCCUUACGCUGGGGGAAGAAGGAGGAGGGGUUGGGGAAGGAGGAGGAGCCGGCAGAGGCUCCGGAGAAAGGGAGGGGGGCGCUCCGCAGCAGCCGCCGCCGCCGCCGCCCAAGGGCUGGAGAGGGAGAGGCACACGCGCUCAACAGAGGGGCGGCAGCGGUGGGGAGGGGGCCUCCCCUUCUCCAUCCUCUUCUGCGGGCAAAAUCCCAGGCCCCGGCAGCAGAAAUUCCGGAAGUGCAGUUAUAGGGGGCAGCAGCGGUGGCGGAGGGAACUACUGGAAAGAAGGCUGUCUGCAGUCUGAGCUCAUCCAAUUCCAUCUCAAGAAAGAGCGGGCCGCAGCGGCAGCGGCCGCGGCUCAGAUGCACACUAAGAACGGUGGCGGAAGCAGUACUCGCAGCUCUCCGAUCGCUGGCUCCCCAGCCAUUUGCGAACCCCUUGCCAUCCCUUCCGCCUUCCCAAUGGCGGCGGCAGCGGAGGGCCCCCAGCAGAGCGCAGAGAGCAGUGCCAGCGGCGGGGGCAUGCAGGCGACCGCGCCACCAUCAUCGCAGCCUAACUCGCAGCAGCUCCAAGAACAGGAAGAAAUGCAGGAGGAGAUGGAGAAGCUUCGAGAAGAAAACGAGACACUCAAGAAUGAGAUCGAUGAGCUGAGAACGGAGAUGGACGAGAUGAGAGACACUUUCUUCGAAGAAGAUGCCUGUCAACUACAGGAAAUGCGCCACGAGUUGGAAAGAGCCAACAAAAACUGCCGGAUCCUGCAGUACCGCCUCCGCAAAGCUGAGCGCAAACGGCUCCGCUACGCGCAGACUGGGGAAAUCGACGGGGAGCUGUUGCGCAGCCUGGAGCAGGACCUUAAGGUUGCAAAGGAUGUAUCUGUAAGACUUCACCAUGAAUUGGAGAAUGUGGAAGAAAAGAGAACAACAACUGAAGAUGAAAAUGAGAAACUGAGGCAACAACUUAUAGAAGUCGAGAUUGCAAAGCAGGCUUUACAGAAUGAAUUGGAAAAAAUGAAGGAGCUAUCCUUAAAAAGAAGAGGAAGCAAAGAUUUGCCAAAAUCUGAAAAAAAGGCUCAACAGACUCCCACAGAGGAGGACAAUGAAGAUCUGAAAUGCCAGCUGCAGUUUGUGAAAGAAGAAGCUGCUUUAAUGAGAAAGAAAAUGGCUAAGAUCGACAAAGAAAAGGACAGAUUCGAACACGAGCUACAGAAGUACAGAUCCUUUUAUGGAGAUCUAGACAGUCCUUUGCCCAAAGGAGAAGCCGGGGGGCCUCCCAGCACUAGAGAGGCGGAGCUCAAGCUAAGGCUGAGGCUAGUGGAGGAAGAAGCCAACAUCUUGGGCAGGAAAAUCGUGGAACUAGAGGUGGAGAACCGAGGUCUGAAGGCAGAACUGGACGACCUGAGGGGCGAUGACUUCAACGGGUCUGCCAACCCCCUCAUGAGGGAGCAGAGCGAAUCCCUGUCGGAACUGCGGCAGCAUCUGCAGCUGGUGGAGGACGAGACCGAGCUGCUGCGGAGGAACGUCGCGGACCUGGAGGAGCAGAACAAGCGCAUCACCGCGGAGCUGAACAAGUAUAAGUACAAGUCAGGCAGCCACGACAGCGCGCGGCACCAUGACAGUGCCAAAACCGAGGCCCUGCAGGAGGAGCUGAAGGCUGCACGCCUGCAGAUCAACGAGCUGAGCGGCAAGGUCAUGCAGCUGCAGUACGAGAACCGUGUGCUCAUGUCCAACAUGCAGCGCUAUGACCUGGCCUCGCAUCUGGGCAUCCGUGGCAGCCCCCGCGACAGUGAUGCAGAGAGCGAUGCGGGCAAGAAGGAGAGCGAUGACGACUCGCGGCCGCCACACCGCAAGCGCGAAGGGCCCAUCGGCGGCGAGAGCGACUCGGAGGAGGUGCGCAACAUCCGCUGCCUCACGCCCACCCGCUCCUUCUACCCCGCGCCCGGGCCCUGGCCCAAGAGCUUCUCCGACAGGCAGCAGAUGAAGGACAUCCGCUCGGAGGCCGAGCGCCUGGGCAAGACCAUCGACCGGCUCAUCGCUGACACGAGCACCAUCAUCACCGAGGCGCGCAUCUACGUGGCCAACGGGGACCUGUUCGGACUAAUGGACGAGGAAGACGACGGCAGCCGCAUCCGCGAGCACGAGCUGCUCUACCGCAUCAACGCGCAGAUGAAGGCCUUCCGGAAGGAGCUGCAGACCUUCAUCGACCGCUUGGAGGUGCCCAAGUCCGCGGACGAACGCGGUGCCGAGGAGCCCAUAUCCGUGAGUCAGGUACAGUUCUGCCUAUUGCGAGCCAAGGCAAUGGCGAGGCUGGCCCGGGCAGCUGCGGUGCCCAGUGGGGUGACUUCCCGCACCGACCUCCAUACCCCACUUUAGGGAGCCCCAGUCCAGAACCUCCCAGGACUUGGAAGCAUCCUCCCCGCCCCUCUGCCCCACAGCACACACACCUCUUUCACAGUGUCCUUCAGUCCUGAGGUUUUGUAACCCAGUCAGUUGAUAGCUAUUUCCCCUCUCUGCUUGUCACACCCACUUUACUUCUUUUAUGUGUAAAGAUUAAAGGAUUUAAAGAUGUAUUAUUAUUGAAGGCCAACAUUUUCAAUAAUGCACUCAUUCUAAUAGAUCCGCUCUAAGAACUUCCUGAAUAGGAGUCUUCAGUUGUGGAUGUGCUGUUUAGAGUCAAGAUUCAAAUUGAGUUUUGAUUUUUUUUUUUUAAUCACUAAAUAAGCAGGACUGAUACAUAACUACUGGUAAAUAUAGAAACUCGGGGCAAGGAGAGAUGUCGUUGUGUCUGGAACCCUACGAAAAGGAACAAGUGGAAGCUGCUCCUUUACCAUGUCCUAGUAACUACAUGAUCAUUUUUUCUAGAAAAAAUCACUGACAGCUCUAUUGUGGAGAUCUCAGGACUGGGGAAGGAGUGUUUUUCUUUAACUUUAAGGCAAUAUUAAUUCAGAGAAAUAGUAAUAACUAUUCCCGAACAGGGAAAGCCAGCAUUUUUCCUUCAUCCUAAUUUGUAGAAGCACAGCUGAUGAAUUGGACUGAGCUGCGCUAGCCAGAUGUUCCAGCCUAUCA